GACAGUCCAAUAUGUGAAGAAAUGAGUCCCGUUGUCCCCCUCCCGUUUAUGAUUAACCUGGACAUCCAGAAUAUACAUGUAGAGGUGGGUGAUACAUAUCUAUCUACACACCAUCUGCAACAUCACAAAAACAAGAAACAAGCCGGUCAUUACAUGCCAUCCAGCUGUUCAUGUAAUAUUUGGGCCCUUUUUCCCCCUUUGCUAAGGAUUGAUUUCGGAUUUCGGUGUAGUCAGGCUCGGACCACCCCCUCCGUUCAACCCAUUCGGACUAGUCGGGUCAUUGGGCUCCUCCAAAUUUGAUCUUGAUGGCCUUGCAAAGUUUUC
rnacentral:lncRNA from 1 species